UCCAUUGUAUCCAAGCAGACAGGAUCCCAUUUUGUCGCCCCCUCCAUUGCUGAGUGGGGAAAUGGCAUUGAAGGUUCGAGCUGACAAGAAAGCAAUAGAAGACUUGAGGUCAAGAAACCAUAAAAAAUUGAUUACAAAACAUAAGAUCAACAACAAGAAGGACCUUCAAGGACUAGGACAAGAAUAUCUCAGUCAAGAGUUAUAUUGAGAAUUACAGCUUUUAUAAAACCGAUUACCCAAAAAGGUAAGACUGACCGAAAGGACUCAUAGAACCAACUUGAACUCACAGAUUCAUUAUUUCAAUCUCAUUUAAGUUUUUCCUUUCUGCAGCCGGGGAUAUUACGAGAAAAUUUCCGUGCUCUUCAACAAUAAACUUCAUUCAUAAAAAUAAUUUUUACCGGGUUAAAAAUGAAAAGAAAUCAUAACACAAAA